UCCCUGGUGGCUCAGAGGUUAAAGCGUCUGCCUGCAAUGUGGGAGACCUGGGUUGGAUCCCUGGGUAGGGAA
rnacentral:tRNA from 1 species